GACGAACGCUGGCGGCGUGCCUAAUACAUGCAAGUCGAGCGAAGUUUUUCUGGUGCUUGCACUAGAAACACUUAGCGGCGAACGGGUGAGUAACACGUAAAGAACCUGCCUCAUAGACUGGGACAACUAUUGGAAACGAUAGCUAAUACCGGAUAACAGUAUUUCUCGCAUGAGAGAUAUUUAAAAGUUGGUUAUGCUAACACUAUGAGAUGGCUUUGCGGUGCAUUAGCUAGUUGGCGGGGUAAAGGCCCACCAAGGCGACGAUGCAUAGCCGACCUGAGAGGGUGAUCGGCCACACUGGGACUGAGACACGGCCCAGACUCCUACGGGAGGCAGCAGUAGGGAAUCUUCCGCAAUGGGCGAAAGCCUGACGGAGCAACGCCGCGUGAGUGAAGAAGGAUUUCGGUUCGUAAAGCUCUGUUGUUAGGGAAGAAUGGAUAUGUAGUAACUAUACAUGUAAGAGACGGUACCUAACCAGAAAGCCACGGCUAACUACGUG
rnacentral:rRNA from 1 species